rnacentral:rRNA from 1 species
GACGAACGCUGGCGGCGUGCUUAACACAUGCAAGUCGAACGGAAAGGCCCUACUUUUGUGGGGUGCUCGAGUGGCGAACGGGUGAGUAACACGUGAGUAACCUGCCCUUGACUUUGGGAUAACUUCAGGAAACUGGGGCUAAUACCGGAUAGGAGCUCCUGCUGCAUGGUGGGGGUUGGAAAGUUUCGGCGGUUGGGGAUGGACUCGCGGCUUAUCAGCUUGUUGGUGGGGUAGUGGCUUACCAAGGCUUUGACGGGUAGCCGGCCUGAGAGGGUGACCGGCCACAUUGGGACUGAGAUACGGCCCAGACUCCUACGGGAGGCAGCAGUGGGGAAUAUUGCACAAUGGGCGGAAGCCUGAUGCAGCAACGCCGCGUGCGGGAUGACGGCCUUCGGGUUGUAAACCGCUUUCGCCUGUGACGAAGCGUGAGUGACGGUAAUGGGCAAAGAAGCACCGGCUAACUACGUG